rnacentral:rRNA from 1 species
GAUGAACGCUGGCGGCGUGCCUAAUACAUGCAAGUCGAGCGAACAGACGAGGAUUUUGCUCCUCUGACGUUAGCGGCGGGCGGGUGAGUAACACGUGGAUCCCCUACCUAUAAGUCUGAGAUAACUUCGGAAAACCGGCGAUUAUACCGGAUAAUAUAUUGAACCGCAUGGUUCAAUGGUGAAAUACGGUUUUGCUGUCUCUUCUCGCUGGAUCCGCGCCGCAUUAGCUAGUUGGUAAGGUAACGGCCUACCACGGCGACGAUGCGUAGACGACCUGAGAGGCGGGUCGGCGACACGGGAAGGUAGACACGGACAAGAGGACUACGGGAGGCAGCAGUAUGGUAUCGUCCGCAACGGGCGAAAACCUUACGGAGCAACGCCGAGUGAGUUAUGAAGGUGUUCGGAUCGUAAAACUCUGUUAUGAGGGAAGAACAAAUGUGGAAGUAACUAUGCACUGCUUGACGGUAACUAAUCAGAAAGCCACGGCUAACUACGUG